rnacentral:rRNA from 1 species
UCUGACCUCGGAUCAGGUGGGACUACCCGCUGAACUUAAGCAUAUC